UACAUAUCUACUUAUUGGAAGUGGGACUGUCAUUGUCCCAGUUACUGAUGAGGAAAUUAGGCACAGAGAAGUCAAAUGACUUGCUUAAGAUCUCAAAUCCAGGAACUGCAGAAGUGAGAUUUGAACCCAUUUCCAACUCCAAGGCCUGUAUAGUAAUUCACUAUUCCAGAAUACUCCUGUAGCAACCUGGCCAUUCGCUGCUGAGCCAAUGCCCCCUCUCUUUCCACAAACUCUUCUCCUGUAGCUUCGAAGCUAUGGUAGGUGACCAGGAGUCUUGGCCACACUUCUUCCAUUGCCUGCCCAGGAGGUAUCUCCAACUUUCUCUUACACACAUCUGUAUGAUACACUAAGACCUUUUUCCAAAUUGCACAGAGAGAGAAAAAGGGAUUGAGUUGCUUCCAUAUUUUUGCUGCUCAUUGUCCUCUUUUCAGUACUAUUUUAUUUUCAGAAUUUUUUCUAGCCACACUUUUCUUCUCAAGCACAGCAGGUAGCCUUUGCAUAGCUAUGAGAGUGACAGGAUUCUUGUCAACCAGACCAUAGACGCCUACCCAGCCAGGUGUAAGAAGGUCCGCUGUGGGCAGAGAAGUUGAUGAGCCAGCACGGUCAGUCCUGUCUUUCGCUAGCAGGGACUAUUGACUGCUCUGUGCCAGACAUUUUGUUAAAAAGUGGUGUUAUCGGCCUGGCGCAGUGGCUCACGCCUGUAAUCCCAGCACUUUGAGAGACCGAGGCAGGUGGAUCACUCGAGGUCAGGAGUUCAAGACCAGCCUGGCCAACAUGGCGAAACCCCAUCUCCACUAAAAAUACAAAAAUUAGCCAGACGUGGUGGCGCAUGCCUGUAAUCCUAGCUACUUGGGAGGCUGAGGCAGGAGAAUCAGUGAACCUAGGAGGCAGAGGUUGCAGUGAGCUGAGAUGAUGCCGUUGUACUCCAGCCUGGGCAACAAGAGCAAAACUCCAUCUCAGAAAAAAUAAAAAUAAAAAUAAUGGUGUUACCAAGACAUAGAAGGUGGGGUCCAUUCUUUGAAGUGACCACUCAUUGAGUAAAUUAACAUCAUUUCUGUUUCAUGCCAUUGAAGAGCUGUGAAUAAUAAUACCCUUGUGUCAGGCUUCCUGUGGUCUAGCACUGUGUCCCGUACUUUAUAGUUUAUUUCCUUUAAUACUCAUGCCCAUCUAGGGUAGUAGGUACCAUGGUUGUUCCCAGUUGAUAUAUGACGGAAUCGAGGCUUAGCAGAAUAAGAAGUCACCCAAACUCAUACCCACUGGUCAGCAGUACAGCUAGAAUUCAAAGCCACACUUGUCUAGGUCCAAAAUCUGCACCCCUAAUUAACCACUCCUGGUAAGAAGCUGGUUAUAAGGGCUGGUCAAGUCAGCUAUGGAAGAAUUCUCAGAAAGUGACUCUAAAGGUGUUCUUUGAAGGUUGUGUAGGAAUUCACCAAAACUGGAAGGAGACAGGCCUUCCUUGCAGGGAAAAGGAACGUAAGGGGCAAAGUUACAGAGACAUAAAAACUCACACCAUCUUUGGAAAAAGGAGACUCAUUUUGAGAAGCCAAAGAGUAAGGUUAAGUGAGAACUCUGGACAUUUGGGCCUGUGGGUAUUGGGCAGCAGCCCCUGACAUGAUGACUCGUCUGUGUGACAGCAGAAUGAAUGACCACAGCAGAGCCAGAGGGCCUUUGCAGCCCUGUUGGUCUCAAAUUUACUCAUGUAUAGCACAUGCAACCUGCAUUAAUAAUCACUUCUUUGGAAUGUUUUCUACCUGGAAAGGGAAUUAGUGGAUGUAACAGUUCAUUCCCCAAACAUAAAAUUUUCCUUGACGUUUUGAUUGUUAUAACUCAUUUAAGUGGGAAAGUAUAAGAUUUGAUAUCUAGCCCUGAAGACUCAUCAUUGAGCACAGUGCUAGAAAGAAAUGCCUACCAGGCUAGGUGCAGUGGCUCACACCUGUAAUCCCAGCACUUUGGGAGGCCAAGACAGGAGGAUCACUUGAGGCCAAGUAUUUGAGACCAGCCUGGGAAAUACAGUGAGACCUUGUCUCUACC
ensembl:lncRNA ASAP1-IT2 ASAP1 intronic transcript 2